rnacentral:rRNA from 1 species
UACGUAGGGGCCUAGCGUUGUCCGGAAUUAUUGGGCGUAAAGAGCUCGUAGGCGGUUCGGCAAGUCGGAUGUGAAAUCUCCACGCUUAACGUGGAGGGGCCAUUCGAAACUGCUGUGACUCGAGUCCGGUAGGGGAGUGUGGAAUUCCCGGUGUAGCUGUGAAAUGCGCAGAUAUCGGGAGGAACACCAGUAGCGAAGGCGGCACUCUGGGCCGGUACUGACGCUGAGGAGCGAAAGCGUGGGGAGCGAACAGG